GUGUAAUUCUUUUUUAUCAGUAAAAGCUCAUUGGAAAUGAGAAAACAGCAACAGAUUCCUAUUAGAUUAAGUUGCUUAGAGAUGAAAAGAUCAGGUACAUGUACACCACACAUACAUAUAGUGAAACAGUAUCAGAAAUUAUAUUUUCAAUUGGAAAUUUUAUUUUACUUAUGUCUGACUUUAAAAAGGUAAAUAAUAUUGAAUUAAUGCUAUUUACAAAGAUAUAUUCCUAAAGCAUAAGAACAUAAAAAGAUUAAAAAUAAAAGGACAUUAAAAAUACCAUGUAAAAAUAGGCCAGCCAUAGUGGCUCACACUUGUAAUCGCAGCAUUUUGAAGGCCCAAGGUAGAUGGAUUGCUUGAGGCCAGCAGCUCAAGACCAGUGUGGGAAAUAUGGUGCAACCCCAUCUCUACAAAAACUACAAAAAUUAGAAGGGUGUGGUGGUAUGUGCCUGUGGUCCCAGCCACUCAGGAGGCUAAGGUAGAAGAAUCACCUGAGCCAGGGAGGUCAGGGCUGCAGUGAGCCGAGAUAGCACCACUGCACUCCAGCCUAGGCAACCCUGUCUCUAAGGAAAAAAAAAAACUUAAAAAAAAAACAACCAACCAACCAAACAAAAAACUAAAGGCAAUGAGUACAAUAGAAUGAUGAUUAAAAAAGGAAUAAUUCACCAGGAAUACGAAAUAGUUCAAAAUUUUAUGCACCUAAUAACAACCCUCAAAAUAGGUAAAAGAAAAAGAGUUAACAGAAUUCAAAGGAGAUUUUUCUCAAGCUCACAUGGAAAAAAAAAAAAGAACUUAAAGGAAAAAUUUAUAACUUAAUAAUCACCAUGAGAAAGUAAAACCUAUCUCUCUCAGUGAUUGGUUGAUUAAGCAGACCAAAAUUAUUUAGGAUAUAGAAAAUUCGAACAAUAUAAUCACAAGCUUAAUCAUAGUGGAACUUGCACUUGGCAAUUAGAAUAUAUACAUUCUUUUC
rnacentral:lncRNA from 1 species